rnacentral:rRNA from 1 species
GUCCUUAGUUACCAGCACGUUAUGGUGGGCGACUCUAAGGAGACUGCCGGUGACAACCGGAGGAAGGUGGGGAUGACGUCAAGUCAUCAUGGCCCUUACGGCCUGGGCUACACACGUGCUACAAUGGUCGGUACAAAGGGUUGCCAAGCCGCGAGGUGGAGCUAAUCCCAUAAAACCGAUCGUAGUCCGGAUCGCAGUCUGCAACUCGACUGCGUGAAGUCGGAAUCGCUAGUAAUCGUGAAUCAGAAUGUCACGGUGAAUACGUUCCCGGGCCUU